rnacentral:lncRNA from 10 species
GGACACUGUUUAUUUCUGUACCUUGGCUAUUUUGAAUAAUGCUGCCAUGAGCAAGGGAGUACAGAUAUUUUUACAAGAGGGUAUUUCAUCUCUUUUGGGUACAUACCCAGAAGAGGAAUUGCUGAGUCAUAUGGUAGUUCUAGUUUUAAUUUCUUUAGAAACUUUCAUAUUGUUAUUCAUAGUGGUUGUACCAAUUAACGCUCUCACUAACAGUGUACUAGGGUUCCCUUUUCUCCACACUGUCACCAAUGUCUGUUGUCUCUUGUCUUUUUGAUAAUGCCAUCUUAACGCGCGUGAGGAGAAGGCUCCAAAUAAACCAAUGAGUGGGACUGCCAGCGCCAGCCAGAAGAGAUCGGCUAGGUGUUUUGUGCUUUCUGCAGUGGUGACACACAGGCUCUUUCCUGGACUCUAUAGGCCUUUGUCUCCAAGCGUGUUUUUUAUCCUCCAACAGUUGCAAAUAUUUCAUGGUAAAAUGUAUGUAACUCGAUUGGUGUGACAUAUUACGAUUUUUGUCUUGCUGGGUCCUUGAUAUUUUCAUAGUCAUAUAAAUAUUCAGGAGCUUUGGGACAGUUAAGUUACUUAGAGGCAGUUUGAUCCUUUGACAUUUUGCUUUUAAAAUUUGUUGGAUAGGACGAGGACAGUGCUUAAUCUGAGCUAAUUGUUCUCCACUGCAGAGGCCAAACCUCUUGUAUAUUCCACCAAAUGCCUGUGAAUCAUGAGGUUUUCCAGUCUGUGUGAGGGUCUGGCACUGUUACCUAUAAUCCUUCGGGUAGUCUAUCCCUUGCCUGGGGUGAUUUUCUGACAUACAUGAUCUGCUCAGUACUCACCUGUACUAGAUGGAUACCCUUUGCAGAUCUCCAGAGUAAAGCUCUUUCUCUUGUCCUCUGACUCGCAAACUCUUGUUGAUAUGGGAGGGGUAGCGACGGGCGGGAUCCCUGGCGAGGGCUCCACCCUCGGGCCUGUGCCCACAGACCUAAGUGAGGACAGGCACUCCUAUCUUUGUGCCCAAAUAUUUCAUUUUCCAAGACCACUCUGGCCUGCCACGUGCUUUAUCCCAUACCUCUAAAAAUCCCGAGACCCUAGCAGGCACACAUACAAGCGGUUGGAAGUCGAGAGGAACACACCAGCAGAAGAGCACACCGACAGACACCGGCAGGCCGUUGACGGCGGAAUGAGGUGGAAGUCGAGGGGAAUUAGGCCAGGGGUGGUCGGAGGAGAGCCCAGCCGCCAAGCGGCCUGACUCCAGGGGAAGACCACCUUCCCACUCCAUCCCUCUUCUGGCUCCCCAUCCAUCUGCUGAGAGCUGCUUCCACCACUCAAUAAAACCUUCUCCAGUCAAUAAAACUCAUUCUCUAAGCCCACAUGUGAUCUGAUUUUUCCGGAACACUAGGGGAACAACCCUGGGAUACAGAAAGCCCUCUGUCCUUCCAAUAAGGCAGAGGGUCUAAUUGAGCUGAUUGACACAAGAUACCUGCAGACGGCUAAGCUGAAAGAACACAUUGUAACACACUCCCACUGGGGCUGCAGGAGCUGUAAACACUCAAUCCCAGAUGCCACUGUGGGGUCGGAGUCCCAGGACCUGCCCAUCUGCGUGCUCCCUCCAGGAGUCUGAGCAACAGGGCACCAAAAAAAGCCAGCCACACCCCCAUAGCAUGCCCUGCUAUGGGUGA